rnacentral:rRNA from 1 species
GCACGAAGUUAGCCGGUGCUUAUUCUUUGGGUACCGUCAGAAACAACCGAGUAUUAAUCGACUGCUUUUCUUUCCCAACAAAAGGGCUUUACAACCCGAAGGCCUUCUUCACCCACGCGGUAUGGCUGGAUCAGGCUUGCGCCCAUUGUCCAAUAUUCCCCA